ACAGAAGUUCUAUUUGAAGAACAUGGUUCAUCAGUAUAUGCUCAUGAGAAAAGGUCAAGUAUGUUUCUAUACUUUGCACAAUAGAAAAUGAAUAUUCCAAUUGCGAGCAAAAGUCCUAUCCUAACCAAACUCCUAAAAAUAUAACCGUUGAACAUUAAACCAGUUUCAUUCUCCUAGAAUUCUAAAGAAAAUGGGACUUUUUCCUAAAAACUAGUGUCAUCCAUUCAUCACUUAAAGACCGG
rnacentral:lncRNA from 1 species